GAUGAACGCUAGCGGCAGGCUUAACACAUGCAAGUCGAGGGGUAACGAGAGUGCUUGCACUUGUCGACGACCGGCGAACGGGUGCGUAACGCGUAUAGAAUCUGCCUUACACUGAGGGAUAGCCUUUGGAAACGAAGAUUAAUACCUCAUGGUACUAUUGAUUGGCAUCAAUUAAUAGUUAAAGGUUACGGUGUAAGAUGACUAUGCGUCCUAUUAGCUAGAUGGUAAGGUAACGGCUUACCAUGGCAACGAUAGGUAGGGGUCCUGAGAGGGAGAUCCCCCACACUGGUACUGAGACACGGACCAGACUCCUACGGGAGGCAGCAGUGAGGAAUAUUGGACAAUGGAGGCAACUCUGAUCCAGCCAUGCCGCGUGAAGGAUGACUGCCCUAUGGGUUGUAAACUUCUUUUAUAUAGGAAGAAACACUUCUACGUGUAGAAGCUUGACGGUACUAUAUGAAUAAGCACCGGCUAACUCCG
rnacentral:rRNA from 1 species